rnacentral:rRNA from 1 species
GGGGGGGGGGGGGGGGGGGCGGGGGGCGGGGGGGUCGGGCGGGUGAAGGGGGGGUGCUCCUGGGUUCAGGGGCGGACGGGUGCGUAAUGCCUCGUCAGCGGCCUGGUAGUGGGGGAUACCGGCCGGCAACGGGCUCUAAUCCCGCAUACGUCCUGCGGGAGAAAGUGGUGUAUCUUCUUCCAUCCCGCUCUCCUAUUAUCCUAGGUCGCAUUAGCUAGUUGGUGGGGUCAAGGCCUACCAAGGCGACGAUCCGUAACUGUUCUGCGGGGAUGAUCAGGCACACUGGAACUGAGACACGGUCCAGACUCCUACGGGAGGCAGCAGUGGGGAAUAUUGGACAAUGGGCGAAAGCCGGAUCCAGCCAUGCCGCGUGUGUGAAGAAGGUCUUCGGAUUGUAAAGCACUUCAAGUUGGGAGGAAGGGCAGUAAGUUAAUACCUUGCUGUUUUGACGUUACCAACAGAAUAAGCACCGGCUAACUUCGUG